GUGCGUAUUGUUAUGCGUUUACUUUUCUACAUUGGCUAGAGGUAUAGGGGCAGGGUUGAGAUCUCAUAAACAUGUUUAACCCCGUCGCAAUUUUGCGCCUGUCCCAAGUCAGGAGCCUCUGGUCUUUGUUAGUCUUGUAUGAUUUUUGAUUUUAGUUUCUUGUGUAUAAUUCGGAGUUUAGUAUGACGUCCAUUAUCACUGUACAAGUAUACAUAUUUUUAGGGGCCAGCUGAAGGACACCUACGGGUGCGG
rnacentral:lncRNA from 1 species